GCAGACGCCGGCCGGGAUUGUGCCGGGAUCCGGAGCCCCCGGGUGCGCCGCAGGCUCCUUCCACUGCAUCCGGGAAACGGCCUCGCCCUCUCCGGCCCGUGACUGCCGGCUUCUGGGCUCCAGAACUGUGAAAGAAUACAUUUCUGUUGUUUUAAGCCACCCAGUUUAUGGGGAUUUGUUACAGCGGCCCUAGAAAACCAAUACACGAGGCCAUACGGAACACUGGUGAUUGAUGCUUUCUGAGAUGCUGUGGUUCACUGGCAAGAUACAACAAAUGACUUGCUGUCUGCACAACUUAGACAGUUUCUCAUCCCCUCUGAACCUCAGCUUCCUCAUUUGUGAAAUGGAGGUAACGGUACCUGCCUCACACCGCCAGGAAAUCCUGCUGAGAGGAUUUCUCUUUAGAGACUGGAUGCAGAGAGCCUGGCAUAGAAUAAGUGUUCAGUAAAUGUUACUUCUCCUAUUAAACUUUCAUCUCUCCUUUGGAGCUGAUUAUUAAUGACCUUGAGGGGAAACUCCCUCAUUCCUCAGAGCAUUCAUUCAGAAUUACUUUGACAAGAGCCUGGAAGUAGUAAGAGGCAACCACUAUGCAUGAUUUACUGUAAAUCAGAAUCAGUGGGUUCAAAAUGAAAGUCAUCAUCUUCCCCAGAAACUAGCCCCUCACUUCCCUGUUUUUGUUGCCUAGAUACAGAUAGCCCUGGCCCUUCCCAUGCCUGUGUCUAGCCCGUUAUCUAGUUCCUGUGUUUUCAAAACUUUUUUGAACGUGACCCAGGACACAUUGCUGAUGUACAUGUGAAACAAAAGCUUUAUUUAAAAAUACUUGUACCAACAAGGACCUACUGUAUAGCACAGGGAACUAUACUAAGUAUUUUGUAAUAACCUAUAAUGGAAAAGAAUCUGACAAAGAAUAUAUAUAUAUAUAUAUAUAUCACUUUGCUGUAUGCCUGAAACUAACACAGCAUGGUAAAUCAACUAUACGUCAAUUUAAAAAAAGAGAAAGGGGCUUCCCUGGUGGCGCAGUGGUUGAGAGUCCGCCUGCCAAUGCAGGGGACAUGGGUUCGUGCCCCGGUCCGGGAAGAUCCCACAUGCCGCAGAGCGGCUGGGCCCGUGAGCCAUGGCCGCUGAGCCUGCGUGUCCGGAGCCUGUGCUCCGCAAUGGGAGAGGCCACAGCAGUGAGAGGCCCGUGUACCGGAAAAAAAAAAAAAAAAAAAAGAGUGGGUGUGUGGGAAUUCCCUGGCGGUCUGGUGGUUAGGACUCGACGCUUCCACUGCAGGGGGAACAGGUUCGAUCCCUGGUCGGGAAACUAAGAUCCUGCAAGCCGAGCACUGCCAAAAAAAAAAAAAAAAGAAAAAAAAAGGUAGGUGUGGUUCUGUUUGGGACCUAAGUGGGAAAGAUUUUAUACCCUGAUAAAGAGUGGGAGGGGGUGUGGGAGGGGAAGCGGCCACCUCCCUUUUCUUCUUGGAACUCUGGUGGUGGGAGGAUGAAAUCAGAGGAGCAGCCAUCUCUCCGUGGACAGGCAAUGCUGGCGAGGGCUAGAAGAACAGGCCUUGAUAACAUUGUUUAGCUGCGGGACAAACCCUGGAAACCACCUACCUGCAGACUUAUGGUUCAGUGAGGGAAUAACUGACCUUGUUUAAGGCACUUUCGAUCAGUAUUCUGUUACUUGGAGCUGAUCACUUCCUGAUUAAGAUACCCACGCAGGAGAUGUUCUGGGCAUCUCUCCUCUGCGCCUUUGUGCCUGCUGGUCCCUUUCCCUAGGAUGCUCUCUCCCUAAAAUGAUCUGAAUUCUGCUCACCUUUUCAGGGCCAACAAGGGUACACUGAGAAGCCUUCCAUUAUCCUGAGCCAAAAGCAUCCUCUCCCUUCUCUCAAGCAUGUGACUCAUAUCUCCCUCAUAGUACAAACAUGAACCAUAAGCUUUUGGGGGGGUUUCGGCUUUUGACCGUGUGUUUUUGUCUCCUUAUUUGACUCUACAUUUUCCCAAGGUGACCUGGAAACUACCAACUAGAAUAUAUCAAAAAUCCACUCCUGGUCCUGGAGACAGAGGAGCUCAUGGUAUGCUCAGACUCUGGAAUCAGUCAGUCCCGUGUUUUAACCCAGCAAAGCAGCGGUGUGAACUGGGGCAAGUGACAUCACCUCUCCGAGCCGCUUUAGAUCCGUCUAGAGUGCAAGAGGGAUACAAGCCAUAAUUAUAUCCCUUAUAAUACCCAGCACAUUGCCUGGCACACAUGGGGAUUCAUUAAGUGAUUGUUAAAAAAAUUAAUGAAUUAUCACAUAUAAUAUAUUCCAAAGGUUAAUUUUCUUUAGGAAAAGUAUUAAAAAUUCAUGCUCCAUAACUUCAUGAUCUUAACAUAGUCAAAUAUUUCUAAAAUAAGAAAUGAAAAGCAUUAACCGUAAAGGAAAAAAAUGAAUAAAUUGGAUCUCAUUUAAGUUAAGAACAUCUACUCACUAAAAGACACCAGUGGGGGACUUCCUUAGUGGCGCAGUGGUUAAGAACCUGCCUGCCAAUGCAGGAGACACGGGUUUGAUCCCUGGUCUGGGAAGAUCCCACAUGCCACGGAGCAACUAAGCCCAUGCGCCACAACUACUGAGCCUGUACUCUAGAGCCCGUGAGUCACAACUACUGAGCCCACAUGCCGCAACUACUGAAGCCUGCACACCUAGAGCCUGUGCUCUGCAACAAGAGAAGCCACCGCACUGAGAAGCCUGCGCACCUCAAUGAAGAGUAGCCCCCACUUGACGCAACUAGAGAAAGCCCGCAUGCAGCAACAAAGACCCAAAGGGGCCAAAAAUAAAUAAAAAAAUAAUAAAACUUUUAAAUAAAUAAAUAGACAAAUAGGUGAAUUCCAUCAGAUUCUUCUGCAUGACUAUUUGAGCUUCCCCUGUUACACAUGCCUGCCUGUUAUUUCUUUCCUUCAGAAAGGAAAACUUCCAACAAGGACCUACUGCAUAGCACAGGAACUAUAUUCAAUAUUUUGUAAUAACCUAUAAGGGAAAAGAAUCUGAAAAAGAACAUAUAUGUAUUUACUUACAUAUAUGUAUAAAUGAAUUGCUGUGCUGUACACCUGAAACUAACACGAUAUUGUAAACCAACUGUACUUCAAUUUUUAAAAAUUUUGUUAAAAAGAGCAACCUAGGGCUUCCCUGGUGGCGCAGUGGUUGAGAAUCUGCCUGGUAAUGCAGGGGACACGGGUUCAAGCCCUAGUCUGGGAGGAUCCCACAUGCCGCGGAGCAACUAGGCCCGUGAGCCACAACUACUGAGCCUGCGCGUCUGGAGCCUGUGUUCUGCAACAAGAGAGGCCGCGACAGUGAGAGGCCCGUGCACUGCGAUGAAGACUGGCCCCUGCUUGCCACAACUAGAGAAAGCCCUCGCACAGAAACGAAGACCCAACACAGCAAAAAUAAAUAAAUAAAAUGAUAAUUACAUCUGCAAACAUCCUUUAAAAAAAAAAAGAGCAACCUAAAUGUCCAUCAGCAGAGGAAUAGAUAAAGAAGAUGUGGUACAUAUAUACAGUGGAAUAUUACUCAGACGUAAAAAAGAACAAAAUAAUGCCAUUUGCAGGAACAUGGAUGGGCUUAGAGAUUGUCAUACUGAGUGAAGUAAGACAUAGACACUGAAAGACAAAUAUCAUAUGAUAUCGCUUAUAUGUGGAAUCUAAAAAAAUCAUAUAAAUGAACUUAUUUACAAAACAGAAGUAGAGUCACAGAUGUAGAAGACAGACUUAUGGUUACCAGGGGAUUGGGGGGGGGGAUAAACUGGAGAUUGGGAUUGACGUACACACUACAUAUAUAAAAUAGAUAACUAAUAAGAACCUACUGUAUAGCACAGGGAACUCAAUACUCUGUAAUGGCCUAUAUGAGAAAAGAAUCUAAAAAAUGAGUGGAUAUAUGUAUACAUAUAACUGAUUCACUUUGCUGUACAACUGAAACUAACAUAACUGUAAAUCAGCUAUACUCCAAUAAAAAUUUUUUAAAAAAUUUUAAAAGAAAGGAAAACACUUUUGUGACCUCAAGUCCUCUCACUUUAUUAUUAUUUUUUACCCCCACUCAUUUCUUCAUUUAUUUCACAAAUAUUUAUCAAAUCCCUGUGUUGCUGCAGACAGUUGCUGAGGAUAAAAUGGAGGGCACACUGACCUGGCCCUGUCUUCACGAAGCUUAGAUGAGUGAGGGAGACCAACUACAGUAGAUUGUGGUGCUUGAAAAUACAGUGUUAAAGAGGGAAAAUACAGCGUUAAAGAGGGAAAAGGCUUUGGGCACAAAGUUACUCACUACGGUGUUAUGUAUAACAGCGAAAAAUCAGUCACCAUCUAUGUAUCCAACAACAAAGAAAUACAUA